UACGAAGGGGGCUAGCGUUGCUCGGAAUUACUGGGCGUAAAGCGCACGUAGGCGGAUUGUUAAGUCGGGGGUGAAAUCCUGGAGCUCAACUCCAGAACUGCCUUCGAUACUGGCGAUCUCGAGUUCGGGAGAGGUGAGUGGAACUGCGAGUGUAGAGGUGAAAUUCGUAGAUAUUCGCAAGAACACCAGUGGCGAAGGCGACUUACUGGACACAUAUUGACGUGAGGUGCGAAAGCGUGGGGAGCAAAACAGG
rnacentral:rRNA from 1 species